AAAACUUUCAACAACGGAUCUCUUGGUUCCGGCAUCGAUGAAGAACGCAGCGAAAUGCGAAAAGUAAUGUGAAUUGCAGAAUUCCGUGAAUCAUCGAAUCUUUGAACGCACAUUGCGCCCUUUGGUAUUCCGAAGGGCAUGCCUGUUCGAGCGUCAUUG
rnacentral:rRNA from 3 species